AUUGAACGCUGGCGGCAUGCCUUACACAUGCAAGUCGAACGGUAACAGGUCUUCGGAUGCUGACGAGUGGCGAACGGGUGAGUAAUACAUCGGAACGUGCCCGAGAGUGGGGGAUAACGAGGCGAAAGCUUUGCUAAUACCGCAUACGAUCUCAGGAUGAAAGCAGGGGACCGCAAGGCCUUGCGCUCACGGAGCGGCCGAUGGCAGAUUAGGUAGUUGGUGGGAUAAAAGCUUACCAAGCCGACGAUCUGUAGCUGGUCUGAGAGGACGACCAGCCACACUGGGACUGAGACACGGCCCAGACUCCUACGGGAGGCAGCAGUGGGGAAUUUUGGACAAGGGGCGCAAGCCUGAUCCAGCCAUGCCGCGUGCAGGAUGAAGGCCUUCGGGUUGUAAACUGCUUUUGUACGGAACGAAAAGACUCUUUCUAAUAAAGAGGGUCCAUGACGGUACCGUAAGAAUAAGCACCGGCUAACUACGUGCCAGCAGCCGCCGUAAUAC
rnacentral:rRNA from 1 species